AUUGAACGCUGGCGGCAUGCCUUACACAUGCAAGUCGGACGGCAGCACGGGAGCAAUCCUGGUGGCGAGUGGCGAACGGGUGAGUAAUAUAUCGGAACGUGCCCAGUCGUGGGGAUAACGUAGCGAAAGCUACGCUAAUACCGCAUACGAUCUAUGGAUGAAAGCGGGGGAUCGCAAGACCUCGCGCGAUUGGAGCGGCCGAUAUCAGAUUAGGUAGUUGGUGAGGUAAAGGCUCACCAAGCCGACGAUCUGUAGCUGGUCUGAGAGGACGACCAGCCACACUGGGACUGAGACACGGCCCAGACUCCUACGGGAGGCAGCAGUGGGGAAUUUUGGACAAUGGGCGCAAGCCUGAUCCAGCAAUGCCGCGUGCAGGAUGAAGG
rnacentral:rRNA from 1 species